GGAAAACAGAUUCAAGGAACUGGAUUACCAACAACAGUCCUUGGAGUAAGUAACAGGGUUACUCUCCACCAACAUUUCUCUUCAAGAAGAGCUGCACAAGGAGCAGGCCAACAACCACCAGUUGGUAGAAGAACACAAACUGCUAAAGAUCAAGACAGAGGCUCUGGAUGAGACUAUCAGGGAGAACGAGGGUUUAUCUCUGAAGCUCACCGAGACCAAAAAAAAACUUUCUGUCAUAAGUGCUGAUCUCAGGGUCAACAACGAGACCUGGCAGCAGUUGGAAGCAGAAAACAAACUGCUGAAGACCCAGAGGGAUUCUCUGGCUGCUUUAAAAAAGAGCCACCACCAUGAGGAGACCCACCACGAGAUGGUCACAAGCAGUGGUUUUGUGGUUUCACUGAGUUGUGUCUGAUCUCUAAGAUCCAACAAACGGAGGAUACCAUUCCCAAAGAACAUCAGAUCCUUAUCACCAGGAUCCAAGAAUUAGAGGAGGACAAAACAGUCCUUGAAAACAUCUGCCUCGACUUAAAGAAACGGACCGGCAGACGGAGAUGGACAAAAUGAGGUGCAAGAUGCAGGACAAGGAGACAAAGAAAUAGGAGAGAGAAAAGAAGAAAAAGGAGACCAUCCAGGACGUCAAGAUCAACGUGCCUGAGACUGGACACAAUUUUUCUGGACUGACGUUUAAAGAGGAACUGGUGUUCAACAAUUUGCUGAGGUGCUUUACAUAUUGUAGAACAUGUAGUUUUGUUGUCGGGUGGAGCAUGCUGUUGGGG
ensembl:lncRNA